rnacentral:lncRNA from 1 species
AAAAACUCUAAAGUAAUUUUAAACAGAGAAAAAAGAAAUCUAACCUAAUGGCGUGACAUUUUCAUUAUUAUUUUAUCUGGAAGAGAAAUAGUAAAAUCAAAGUAUAUGAAAAGAAGAAUGAUAAGACUUCAGUAUAAAUAUCUUACAAGUUACAGGAUUAGCUGCUAGUUGGGAAAUCCAGUCAUGUUUUAUGCCUCACAGUAUAUGUUUGGAAUAAUAGGAAGGAACCUGCAAAGAUCAUUGAGACCCACUGCCUGACCUCUUGAGGACUAAGCAGGCAUUCAAGCAUGAUUUUGAGGGCAGUCUUCAAAUGCCUCCUGAACACUGGUGUGGGGCAUCAACCACCUCUUUAGGAAGCUUGUUCCAUUGUAUGACCACCCUCACUGUAAAGACAUGUUUCCAACACCCAGUCUGACCCUCACCUGGCUUACUUUGUGUCAUUCCUGUCCUUCUAGCAGUUGCUAGGAGCAGAGCUCAGCACCACCAUCUGCUUCCCUCCUCGGGGAGAUGCAGGGAGCAGCAAAAUGAUGAUCGUGGUAGGUUGCGUACAGCCAGUGGAGGGAAAAUGGCAGUAGGAAAAAUAAGAGUCCAAAUAAAUUUGCUCAUAAAAGCUCAUACCUACACCCAGAAUUGUGCUGUGAAGUUUUCCCUUCCAUUAGGACAUAAUUUUAAAGCAUCAGUUACUCAAUAUUAGAGUAGCAUGAUUGGAAGGCAGCCCUAUGAGUCCUGCAAGAGCAAAGGUACUGCUGCAUCUUGUUAUACGUGCAGUGUAGUGUGAAUUUAGUGUGAGUUACAUUGGCAUAAAAAACAUUAGAAAUAUCACUGUACUUUCACCAUAAAAAUACUGUGUAGAGUAAAAAAAAAAAAAAAAAAAAAAAAAAAAAGAUAAUCAAAUAUUCUCUCUGGACUAAUUAUUUUCUUUUAAAAAGACUCUGCUAAACCAAUCUUUGUCUUAUUUGCAGUUGCUCACAAAUAUGCGUAAUUGAUGGAAAAAGGAGAAAUAUUCUUUGGAUGCUAUGCCGCCAGCUAUUUGCAUGGCACCACAGAUGUGUGUGGCACUCAGGAGUCUGAUCUGCAGGAAGAGUGCACUCAAAAACACCAAGACGUUUUCAGCGAAGUGUAUCGAACUACUGAGUGGCUGAGAAGAAAACCAAAAGAAAGGCAUCCUGGUGUUUGUCAGGAGAAAUGA